rnacentral:rRNA from 1 species
UACGAAGGGGGCUAGCGUUGUUCGGAAUUACUGGGCGUAAAGCGUGCGCAGGCGGCUUUGCAAGACAGAUGUGAAAUCCCCGGGCUCAACCUGGGAACUGCAUUUGUGACUGCAUGGCUAGAGUACGGUAGAGGGGGAUGGAAUUCCGCGUGUAGCAGUGAAAUGCGUAGAUAUGCGGAGGAACACCGAUGGCGAAGGCGGCAUCCUGGACCAAUAUUGACGCUGAGGAGCGAAAGCCAGGGGAGCAAACGGG